AGUAUAGUAGUUUAAUGGUAAAACCACAGAGUAGCAUUGAUUUGUUGCCUGUUAUGCGGGUUCGAGUCCCGCCUAUACUC
rnacentral:tRNA from 1 species